AUCGCUUCUCGGCCUUUUGGCUAAGAUCAAGUGUAGUAUCUGUUCUUAUCAGUUUAAAAUGCAUGUACAGAGCUUCCUAAUUAGUGAUGGGGUCACUGAUCAGGGCAAAACCUCAGUUUUAACCUCACGAAUUAUUACAAAUUUGUUUUCCUUGCCUGGUUAGAAGAGAGACAUUGAGACACUUU